ACCUUCAUGGUGUAGUGGUGAGCACGCUCGACGCGUAUUCGAGAGGUCCGUGGUUCGAGUCCCGGUGAGGGCA
rnacentral:tRNA from 1 species